rnacentral:rRNA from 1 species
CACGUAGGGUGCGAGCGUUGUCCGGAAUUAUUGGGCGUAAAGUGUGCGCAGGCGGCCGCGCAAGUCGAGUGUGAAAGCCCCGGGCUUAACUUGGGAAUUGCGCUCGAAACUACGUGGCUGGAGUGUGGCAGAGGAAGGUGGAAUUCCAGGUGUAGCGGUGAAAUGCGUAGAGAUCUGGAGGAACACCGAUGGCGAAGGCAGCCUUCUGGGCCAACACUGACGCUCAUGCACGAAAGCGUGGGGAGCAAACAGG